rnacentral:rRNA from 1 species
ACUAUCCGCCCGGGAACUACGAGCAACAGCUUAAAACCCAAAGGACUUGGCGGUGCUUUAGACCCACCUAGAGGAGCCUGUUCUGAAACCGAUAACCCCCGUUCAACCUCACCUUUUCUUGUUCUCCCCGCCUAUAUACCGCCGUCGUCAGCUUACCCUAUGAAGGCCCCUUAGUAAGCAUAAUUGGUAUAACCCAAAACGUCAGGGCGAGGUGUAGCGUAUGGAAAGGGAAGAAAUGGGCUACAUUCCUUAUCGCAAGGAAUUACGAAAAAUAACACUGAAACGUGUAUCUAGAAGGAGGAUUUAGCAGUAAGCAGAAAAUAGAGCGUUCUGCUG